AAAAAAUCCCAAAGAGGCCCUAAAUUGCAAAAAAAAUAGAGAGGUGGGCAUCCCACACUUCGCGAGGACAAAAAUAGAAAAUUCGUCGCAGCAAAAUCUGAAAGACUCAUAAAUGUGGAGAGACAAGAGUCCUGGCGUCAAGAUCCUCUGGCUUUGGACCUUCGGAACUGCAGCUGUUUUGGUGGCCAAUGUUAUGAGAACCAGAAUACGAGACAUGGAGCAACUCAUUAACGCCCAAGAUCAAGCCUCCCAUACUACAGACUCACUUUCCGACGAGAAAAACUCAUGGGAUUCUGCUGAAGUGAUUGAAGAGAAAUCAUAGUGUGUUCUUGCUAUCCUCAGUUGCUGCUUGUAAGAUUUUGAAUAUGGUAUAAGGUGUUUGAUAAGUUGCCUGAAUGGGUUUUUGAAUAUGGUUUAAAGGUGUUUUAUCAGUUGCCUGAAUGAGUUUUUGAUUCUGGUAUAAGGUGUUUGUUGAAUUGCCUGACAUGGUGUGUUUGGCUGCAAUGCAUGAUGCAUUUCAAUUU